GAGUGCUUACUGGAUGAUUUCAUGGCUAUGUGGCACCCGGGAGAGCAGAUCAAGGAAGUUGUUAGGGUGGGGGAGGGAAAGGAUUACAAACAAGUUUGGCAGCUGGAAGAGGAUUUUUUUUUCUGUAAUGCUGCGUACGUACUCUCUUCCACUGCUGACAGCCAUGGGCCCCUAGGUAAAUCUUCAGCCAGCCACAGGUUGUGCCUAGACUGUGCCUAUCAGCAGAGUAUCUCAGCACCUUACGGUUGUACACUAAGCAACAUCUCCAAGCACUGUGCAGACACUGAUCCCUAGAUCACUCCUGUGAAGCAGGUAGAAAAAUGAAGCCUACACACUUGCCAUACCUGUUACUGACCUGCUUUCUUCUACAUGAGGCUGCCUGUAAACCCUUAAAACCCAAUUGUGAUCUUGUAAAAUGCAAGACAUGUCCAAAGCAACAUAUCGCAGUGGCAUUUAAGAACAAGUGCUGCGCAACCUGCGUCCCUACGUGUUCCUGCCCUGACCACCAGGAGUUUGAAUGCAACAUGCAAGGCUUUAAAUAUGGAAAGAUCCCCCUGGGAGAGUCUUACUACAUAGACUUUGCCACCACGAAGUGCACCUGUGUUUCUCCUGGGAAUAUCUCCUGCACCUCGCUUUGCCCUACGGUUUCUCCCACAUGCAAGGAAACAGGAGGAGUGGCUGAUGGCUGCCCUCAAUGUAUCUGUCACAUUGAGGAUUACAGUUUUGUAGUUGCUGGAAGUACCAUCCAAAGAGAUGCGGAGAUUUGCAAAUGUCCCCCUGAAGGUGGCAAGCUUCAGUGCACCCCCUCUAAAUCUCACAUUGCUAGUACACCCAGCGCCAACACAGAGUAGGCCCUGCUCUCAGCAUGAGCUAAGUGUCAGUGCCAAGGGAAGGUCUUUGUGGUUAGAAUAGAGGAGAAGUUCAGCAAUGUCCUUGGGCAGCUUAUGGAAAACUCACACAGAAUAUAAAAGAAACUGAUUGCCUUGCUAGAGGUGUUUUUGGUGGGGUCCCAGUGCCAGAACAGUGAAACCAUCUCAUGAAGGCUCCAGGGAACAUGCCCCACUCUGGAUUCAUGCCAUAGCCUAGUGAGGGACCAACCUUUUCAGCAGGCGUGCCAUGAAUUAACCCCACACCCUCCCUGAGGGCCCCUCUGAUCCCCUUCUCCUGUCCAGUCUGCUGCUCUGUUUUCUGCUCCCAGGCCUGUGCUCCCUGCCCUAUCUGUUGCUGUGCUGCCUGUCCCCUCCCCAGUCAGCUGUAUGCCACACACAGAGGCUGCUCAUGCCACCCCUAUCAUAGGCCAUCCCCUGUCAAUCAGGGUUUAAAAAGGUAUCUGGUCAUUCAGCCUAGCCACAUUGCUCCCUUUUGUGCUGAUUGCAUGCCUUAGCAAUGCUAACUUUAUGGGCAGCUAAGCUCAACUGGACCUUUGACUUAUGGGUGUUUCAAGCUGUCCUAUACAAUUUAAUAAAGAAUCAGAUUCCUGCUAUAGCAUUUCAUAGAGUUGCUAUCUUCUAUGAUAUCUAUAAGCCAGUUCAAAGCAUUUAUAGUAAGGCAACCUUUUUCUGUUUCUCUCUAGGAUUUCUCCAUGAUGGUGUCCAAGGUAGUUAGUACAAUAGAAGGUAGAUGGGGGGUGGGAAAUGCAGCUUAUUUAUUUAUUUAUGGGAUGAUUACACUUUUUUGUGUGAUUGUGUAAAUAUAGCUGGCAUAGGUAGCAAUGCCUGAUACAUUUCAUCAUGUUCUAAGCUCCUGUUUGCAGGUGUUUUGUUAAAUUUUAACCACUGGGGCUGCAAUGUUCCAUAGCAGGCGUCUGCUUCAGGUUCAGGACAUCAGCAAGUAUCAGUCCUGCCAUUUUUCAGCAUGAAGCCAAGGAAAACGACAGCCUUGGAACUGUUUCAAAAGUUUUAGCAUCUUUCUGUUUUAGAGCAAGGACUUGGUUCUGGCACGGGGGCUACCCUUGUAGUGGGGAUAUGCUUUUUGCUGUCUCCUGGAAGAUCUGGAGACAAAUAUGCCUAUGUUUUUAGUCUUUGGCAACUUUAUUUGGUGCAGGCUCAGGAGAAACAGAGUUGAGUUCAGCUGCCCAUCAAGCUGGCAUGACUAAAGCAUGGCAGGCAAAGACUCUGAAGAGUCUCUCAGUACUAAGCAUGUUCCCACUCGCCCAUCAUGACAUUGGACACAAGGCUCCUUCCUGCAGCCAGGAACUCUUGCAGUGCAAGGAACCAGAACUGAGAGACGGGGCCUGUGCGUUGUGACCUGAGACAAGGGCACUGAAUUAAGGUUGUACAGGCUACCGCCAUUCUGUCAUCUUCUGCCUUCUGAGCCUGUAACUAAAACCUAAAUGCUCUUUUGAUGCAUUUCCCUAUGUUAUAUACCAUCUACAGAAGACUGCUAUCAUUUCCCCUUGACUUAUCCUGUGUCUGAUACUCAGAAUUGGAGAUUUUCAUUCUUUCCUGCAUGGCAUCUCAUAGCCAUAGUGUCCACUGCCACAAACUUACUCAAAGAAAUUUCUUUCCUAAUAAUGAGUACAACUGUCCUACCUCUACUUGUGUCACUCACAACAGCUGAACUCAGGAGAAAGGUCACAGUAGCAUUUCAUUUUCCUUUUUUAACCAUAUAUAUAUAUACGAACAAUGUAACUAAAUCACGGCAUAUCUGAGGCUGAGAUGCUGGGAAAUGUUGGAUUCUGUUCCUUCUAUGUAUCCUAAUAAAAGCAAGUUUACAGAUUA